UACGGAAGGCAGCAGUGGGGAAUAUUGCACAAUGGGCGCAAGCCUGAUGCAGCGACGCCGCGUGGGGGAUGACGGCCUUCGGGUUGUAAACUCCUUUCGCUAGGGACGAAGCGCAAGUGACGGUACCUGGAGAAGAAGCACCGGCUAACUACGUGCCAGCAGCCGCGGUAAUACGUAGGGUGCGAGCGUUGUCCGGAAUUACUGGGCGUAAAGAGCUCGUAGGUGGUUUGUCGCGUCGUUUUGUGUAAGCCCGCAGCUUAACUGCGGGACUGCAGGCGAUACGGGCAUAACUUGAGUGCUGUAGGGGAGACUGGAAUUCCUGGUGUAGCGGUGGAAUGCGCAGAUAUCAGGAGGACACCGAUGGCGAAGGCAGGUCUCUGGGCAGUAACUGACGCUGAGGAGCCGGAAAGCAGUGGGGAGCGGAACAGGGAUUAGAUAC
rnacentral:rRNA from 1 species